ACGGAUUCUUCGGAUGAAGUUUCCUGUGACUGAGUGGCGGACGGGUGAGUAACGCGUGGGUAACCUGCCUCAUACAGGGGGAUAACAGUUAGAAAUGACUGCUAAUACCGCAUAAGCGCACAGUACCGCAUGGUACGGUGUGAAAAACUCCGGUGGUAUGAGAUGGACCCGCGUUGGAUUAGCUAGUUGGCAGGGUAACGGCCUACCAAGGCGACGAUCCAUAGCCGGCCUGAGAGGGUGGACGGCCACAUUGGGACUGAGACACGGCCCAGACUCCUACGGGAGGCAGCAGUGGGGAAUAUUGCACAAUGGGGGAAACCCUGAUGCAGCAACGCCGCGUGAGUGAUGAAGGUUUUCGGAUCGUAAAGCUCUGUCUUCAGGGACGAUAAUGACGGUACCUGAGGAGGAAGCCACGGCUAACUACGUGCCAGCAGCCGCGGUAAUACGUAGGUGGCGAGCGUUGUCCGGAUUUACUGGGCGUAAAGGGAGCGUAGUCGGAUUUUUAAGUGAGAUGUGAAAUACCCGGGCUCAACUUGGGUGCUGCAUUUCAAACUGGAAGUCUAGAGUGCAGGAGAGGAGAGU
rnacentral:rRNA from 1 species